UUAAGCGACUAAGCGUACACGGUGGAUGCCCUGGCAGUCAGAGGCGAUGAAGGACGUGCUAAUCUGCGAUAAGCGUCGGUAAGGUGAUAUGAACCGUUAUAACCGGCGAUUUCCGAAUGGGGAAACCCAGUGUGAUUCGUCACACUAUCAUUAACUGAAUCCAUAGGUUAAUGAGGCGAACCGGGGGAACUGAAACAUCUAAGUACCCCGAGGAAAAGAAAUCAACCGAGAUUCCCCCAGUAGCGGCGAGCGAACGGGGAGCAGCCCAGAGCCUGAAUCAGUGUGUGUGUUAGUGGAAGCGUCUGGAAAGGCGCGCGAUACAGGGUGACAGCCCCGUACACAAAAAUGCACAUACUGUGAGCUCGAUGAGUAGGGCGGGACACGUGGUAUCCUGUCUGAAUAUGGGGGGACCAUCCUCCAAGGCUAAAUACUCCUGACUGACCGAUAGUGAACCAGUACCGUGAGGGAAAGGCGAAAAGAACCCCGGCGAGGGGAGUGAAAAAGAACCUGAAACCGUGUACGUACAAGCAGUGGGAGCACGCUUAGGCGUGUGACUGCGUACCUUUUGUAUAAUGGGUCAGCGACUUAUAUUCUGUAGCAAGGUUAACCGAAUAGGGGAGCCGAAGGGAAACCGAGUCUUAACUGGGCGUUAAGUUGCAGGGUAUAGACCCGAAACCCGGUGAUCUAGCCAUGGGCAGGUUGAAGGUUGGGUAACACUAACUGGAGGACCGAACCGACUAAUGUUGAAAAAUUAGCGGAUGACUUGUGGCUGGGGGUGAAAGGCCAAUCAAACCGGGAGAUAGCUGGUUCUCCCCGAAAGCUAUUUAGGUAGCGCCUCGUGAAUUCAUCUCCGGGGGUAGAGCACUGUUUCGGCAAGGGGGUCAUCCCGACUUACCAACCCGAUGCAAACUGCGAAUACCGGAGAAUGUUAUCACGGGAGACACACGGCGGGUGCUAACGUCCGUCGUGAAGAGGGAAACAACCCAGACCGCCAGCUAAGGUCCCAAAGUCAUGGUUAAGUGGGAAACGAUGUGGGAAGGCCCAGACAGCCAGGAUGUUGGCUUAGAAGCAGCCAUCAUUUAAAGAAAGCGUAAUAGCUCACUGGUCGAGUCGGCCUGCGCGGAAGAUGUAACGGGGCUAAACCAUGCACCGAAGCUGCGGCAGCGACGCUGAUGCGUUGUUGGGUAGGGGAGCGUUCUGUAAGCCUGCGAAGGUGUGCUGUGAGGCAUGCUGGAGGUAUCAGAAGUGCGAAUGCUGACAUAAGUAACGAUAAAGCGGGUGAAAAGCCCGCUCGCCGGAAGACCAAGGGUUCCUGUCCAACGUUAAUCGGGGCAGGGUGAGUCGACCCCUAAGGCGAGGCCGAAAGGCGUAGUCGAUGGGAAACAGGUUAAUAUUCCUGUACUUGGUGUUACUGCGAAGGGGGGACGGAGAAGGCUAUGUUGGCCGGGCGACGGUUGUCCCGGUUUAAGCGUGUAGGCUGGUUUUCCAGGCAAAUCCGGAAAAUCAAGGCUGAGGCGUGAUGACGAGGCACUACGGUGCUGAAGCAACAAAUGCCCUGCUUCCAGGAAAAGCCUCUAAGCAUCAGGUAACAUCAAAUCGUACCCCAAACCGACACAGGUGGUCAGGUAGAGAAUACCAAGGCGCUUGAGAGAACUCGGGUGAAGGAACUAGGCAAAAUGGUGCCGUAACUUCGGGAGAAGGCACGCUGAUAUGUAGGUGAGGUCCCUCGCGGAUGGAGCUGAAAUCAGUCGAAGAUACCAGCUGGCUGCAACUGUUUAUUAAAAACACAGCACUGUGCAAACACGAAAGUGGACGUAUACGGUGUGACGCCUGCCCGGUGCCGGAAGGUUAAUUGAUGGGGUCAGCGCAAGCGAAGCUCUUGAUCGAAGCCCCGGUAAACGGCGGCCGUAACUAUAACGGUCCUAAGGUAGCGAAAUUCCUUGUCGGGUAAGUUCCGACCUGCACGAAUGGCGUAAUGAUGGCCAGGCUGUCUCCACCCGAGACUCAGUGAAAUUGAACUCGCUGUGAAGAUGCAGUGUACCCGCGGCAAGACGGAAAGACCCCGUGAACCUUUACUAUAGCUUGACACUGAACAUUGAGCCUUGAUGUGUAGGAUAGGUGGGAGGCUUUGAAGUGUGGACGCCAGUCUGCAUGGAGCCGACCUUGAAAUACCACCCUUUAAUGUUUGAUGUUCUAACGUUGACCCGUAAUCCGGGUUGCGGACAGUGUCUGGUGGGUAGUUUGACUGGGGCGGUCUCCUCCUAAAGAGUAACGGAGGAGCACGAAGGUUGGCUAAUCCUGGUCGGACAUCAGGAGGUUAGUGCAAUGGCAUAAGCCAGCUUGACUGCGAGCGUGACGGCGCGAGCAGGUGCGAAAGCAGGUCAUAGUGAUCCGGUGGUUCUGAAUGGAAGGGCCAUCGCUCAACGGAUAAAAGGUACUCCGGGGAUAACAGGCUGAUACCGCCCAAGAGUUCAUAUCGACGGCGGUGUUUGGCACCUCGAUGUCGGCUCAUCACAUCCUGGGGCUGAAGUAGGUCCCAAGGGUAUGGCUGUUCGCCAUUUAAAGUGGUACGCGAGCUGGGUUUAGAACGUCGUGAGACAGUUCGGUCCCUAUCUGCCGUGGGCGCUGGAGAACUGAGGGGGGCUGCUCCUAGUACGAGAGGACCGGAGUGGACGCAUCACUGGUGUUCGGGUUGUCAUGCCAAUGGCACUGCCCGGUAGCUAAAUGCGGAAGAGAUAAGUGCUGAAAGCAUCUAAGCACGAAACUUGCCCCGAGAUGAGUUCUCCCUGACCCUUUAAGGGUCCUGAAGGAACGUUGAAGACGACGACGUUGAUAGGCCGGGUGUGUAAGCGCAGCGAUGCGUUGAGCUAACCGGUACUAAUGAACCGUGAGGCUUAACCUU
rnacentral:rRNA from 1 species